rnacentral:rRNA from 1 species
GGUGAGUAAUGUCUGGGAAACUGCCUGAUGGAGGGGGAUAACUACUGGAAACGGUAGCUAAUACCGCAUAAUGUCGCAAGACCAAAGAGGGGGACCUUCGGGCCUCUUGCCAUCAGAUGUGCCCAGAUGGGAUUAGCUUGUUGGUGGGGUAACGGCUCACCAAGGCGACGAUCCCUAGCUGGUCUGAGAGGAUGACCAGCCACACUGGAACUGAGACACGGUCCAG